UACGAAGGGGGCUAGCGUUGCUCGGAAUCACUGGGCGUAAAGCGCACGUAGGCGGACUCUUAAGUCAGGGGGUGAAAUCCUGGAGCUCAACUCCAGAACUGCCCUUUGAUACUGGGAGUUCUUGAGUUCGGGGAGAGGUGAGUGGAACUGCGAGUGUAGAGGUGAAAUUCGUAGAUAUUCGCAAGAACACCAGUGGCGAAGGCGGAC
rnacentral:rRNA from 1 species